CCACCUUCCGUCCCGCUGGAACCGCCCCUCCCCCCACCAUCCGAGGCCCGCGCCUGCGCACUCCUGACGCCCGCGCCGCGCCCCCGCAGCUUUGUGGGAAAUGUAGUCCGGCUCCCCGGGGUGGAGAUGCUGGGAGGGGCGGCAUUGGUCCGCUGGUUGCUCUGGCUCCUGCUGGGAGAGGCUCUGCCUCCUCUGAUCCUGCCCACCGCCUGGGAAGGACACCACAGGAAGGAAGGAGAAGGCAGUGGCUGCUGGGCCUCUACUAUUGGGAGUUCAGGGCAUCAGCUUUCCAAACCAAAUGUGAUAUCUCAGCUGGAUUGAGAACUGAGCCUGAUGACAAAAGAACAUCCAGGGUGCAUUUCCCCAGGUAAGCAUCUGGCUGCAAGAACUUGUUCCAUGAGUGUCACCUUGGGGAGAAACCACUACAGAGGUCCCUGGGUCUCUUGAGACCUGUACCAUUUGCUGUGUGUUUCUCAAAUGCCUCUGCAUUGUUGAUGUCACUCAUCCUGCCGAGGUCUUGCAUGUGUCCUUACCUCAGUGGGAGGUAAUAUCUUAUGAGGAUUAAAUGAGUUACUACAUUUGUGACUCUUUUAAAUUGCCUGGAACAUACUGAACAUUCAGUAAAUAUCAGCAGUUAUUAUUUCCUCUUGUCAUCUUUUACUUUUUUUUUUUUUUUUUUUUUUUUUUUUUUUUGGCCAUGCUGCGCAGCUUAUGGGAUCUUAGUUUCCUGACCAGGUAUCCAACCCGGGCCCUUGGCAGUGAGAGCGUGGAGUCCUAACCACUGGACCACCAGGGAUUUCCCUCAUCUGUACUUUCAAUCCCUGUCUUUCUAUCCCGCUCUACUUUAUUCUCUUUAUUUUCUUUCGUGAAUCUUCUCGGCCAUUACCUAUAUCCAUAGCUUCCUUUCCAUUAUUCAUUUAAACAUUUGUCAGCUUUUUAAAAGGAGACUAACAUUUCUCUUCCUGUGAAUUAUAUAGGUGUUUUAUACAGUCUUCAUUUAAAAACAAAUGACGAGUGAGUUUAGCCCUGUUCUUUUUACUAGUAACCUUACAUUUUAUGUAUUUCCUUUCUCAUUCCUAAAUUUUUAAUCUGAAUCUACUAAUUUAAUCCCAUUCUCCUCUAAGCAUUUAAUGCUUCGUAAUCUUUGUUAUCUGCCUACUAAUCCCCCUCACAACUGAAAUUUCUUUAUUAGAUGUUAUCGUGACUUUUCUCUGAAAAAAUGCAUUUUACACCUUUAUCUUUUCUACUCAUGUGAAAGUGUUGAUCACUUCUUUUCAUACACUGUUUAAAGAGUUAGGCACAUAUUUUUUGGUGUCUGGAUGGUGUAUGGCUAUCUAAGUACAGAGCAAUAAAAGAAAUCAGUAAAAGAACGUUGAUAGGAAAAAAAUCAUCUUGUGACCAUCGCUGCUUGUUUCCAUUAAGCUUUCUAAAGAACAGGAUUCUGGAAGAGUCUCUGUGUCAAAGGAUAUAUACAUUUUUCUGGCUCUUGCUACAUAUUGUACAACUUUGGAUAUUAUCUUAUGCUUUUCAUGCUAAUUUUUAGGUAUAGAAUGAUUGCUUAAGGUAGCUUUAAUUAACCUUAUUACAGAUUUCUGUGGAUUCAAUUACUAUUGCUAUUUGUAUUCUUACAUAAAUAACAAACAAAUGUUUUUUGAGCACUGGGCCCUGUUCCUAACAUUGGGUGUAGAGCAAUGAGCAAAACAGGCAGAGUUUCCACGUGGAGUUUAUAGUCUAGUCAGGGAAACAAUAAAUUAAUCAAGAAAGAAGGCAGGGAAGGAGAAGGGAGAAGAAAGGAAGGAAGAAGGGAGGGACUGACUAUUCAUAGAGUCAGGUGCUGCGUAGAAAAACAAAGCAUCAUAAGGGAAGUAAUCAGUUAACAGGAGUGCUGUUUUGUAGGGGUGAUCAGGGAAGGCCUCUUCUUUAAGGUGACUACUGAACAGAUACUCAAAGUGAUGGUCAUGUGGGAGCAGAUUCUGGGCACAGGGAGCAGCAGGUGCAAAGACCUUGUGGUAAAUUGCAUGGCAUUGUUUGAAGGGAAAAUGUGAGAUGUGAAGAUUUCUUUAAACUUUGUCUUUCAGUCCUGUGAAAAAAUUGAUUUCUACUAUCGUAUUUUUUAUUUCUAUGAGCCUUCUCAUCUCUAAGUGCUCCUUCUUUUUUAAUAGCAAUCUUUUAAAAUGCAUGUAUUAACUUCUCUUGUCUGUAUGAGGAUAUAUAAAUUAUAUUUUUGGUAGGGGUUUUUUGUUUUGGUUUUGGUUUUCUUUUGCAGCAUUUUGCUCCCUAGAUUAUUUUAGUGCAUUUAUUUGUGACUUUUUCAUUCUUUCACUGUCAUGUUGGUGGGUUUUCUAGAAGCAUCAAAGGCAAACAAAGGUAUGGCUCAUACUGGAUUUUCCUCUCCCAGUUUUUUACCCACCUUCCAACUUCUCUAUUGGGCUGAAUCCUAAAGAUUUAUCACUUGAAUAUGAUUACAUUUCACACUGUAUUUCUCUUGUCUCUUUGAAUAUCUAUCUAGCCACUAGUAUGUAGGCUCACUGAGUUGUCAUGAUUGAGCUUACUUUUAUUUAUAUCCCCUGCCUAGCAUGUUGUCUGCGAGAGUAGGUAUUUAAUAUCUUUGUUGAGUGAAUAUUAGAUGACAUCAAGUAGAAUUUUUAGUAAUCAGGUAAAACUAUAGCUUUGAAAAUUAUAUUUAUUACACUCAUAUCAAUGAAUAUUUUAAUUAUCAGGAAGAGCGAAUAAGAAGGGCAAAGCAGCAAGGAUGGAAUCUUGAGGAAUAACAUUUGACUGGGGGCCAAAGAUGCUCUAGCAAAAGUGACAGAAAAAGUGGUCAGAGGGAGAGGAGAGAGUUAUGGAGAGCUGGGCCAAGGGAAGAGAGAAAAACAGAGAAGAGUGCAACAGUGCUAAGUAAGAAAUGAGAAACGCUAUUGGUCUUAGUGUAGAGGAAGUGGCCUGUAACCCAGGGAGGAGCACUCUGGUGCUGCAGGACAUGUGCCUGGGGAGAAGAGUGAAGAAGUAAACGAGGACUUUUAUGGGGAAUUCCCUGACGGUCUAGUGGUUAGGACUCUGCACUCUCAUUGCCAAGGGCCUAGGUUCAAUCCCUGGUCACGGAACUAAGAUCCCACAAGCCGUGUGGCAAGUCCCACCACCACCACCCCGCCCCCCACCUCCCCAAAAAAGAGAGACUUUUAAGUACAGACUAUCCUUUCAACAAAGUUAACUUUGAAGGAAAAGGAAGAAAGGGCAGGACCUGAAAGAAGUCAGAUGUAGAAUGCCUCCGAUUUGUUUU
rnacentral:lncRNA from 1 species